rnacentral:rRNA from 1 species
UGUGGAAUAUUGGACAAUGGGCGCAAGCCUGAUCCAGCCAUGCCGCGUGAGUGAUGAAGGCCCUAGGGUUGUAAAGCUCUUUCACCGGUGAAGAUAAUGACGGUAACCGGAGAAGAAGCCCCGGCUAACUUCGUGCCAGCAGCCGCGGUAAUACGAAGGGGGCUAGCGUUGUUCGGAUUUACUGGGCGUAAAGCGCACGUAGGCGGACUUUUAAGUCAGGGGUGAAAUCCCGGGGCUCAACCCCGGAACUGCCUUUGAUACUGGAAGUCUUGAGUAUGGUAGAGGUGAGUGGAAUUCCGAGUGUAGAGGUGAAAUUCGUAGAUAUUCGGAGGAACACCAGUGGCGAAGGCGGCUCACUGGACCAUUACUGACGCUGAGGUGCGAAAGCGUGGGGAGCAAACAGG